UUAAGCGACUAAGCGUACACGGUGGAUGCCCUGGCAGUCAGAGGCGAUGAAGGACGUGCUAAUCUGCGAAAAGCGUCGGUAAGGUGAUAUGAACCGUUAUAACCGGCGAUGUCCGAAUGGGGAAACCCAGUGUGAUUCGUCACACUAUCGUUAACUGAAUACAUAGGUUAACGAGGCGAACCGGGGGAACUGAAACAUCUAAGUACCCCGAGGAAAAGAAAUCAACCGAGAUUCCCCCAGUAGCGGCGAGCGAACGGGGAGCAGCCCAGAGUCUGAAUCAGCUUGUGUGUUAGUGGAACGGUCUGGAAAGUCCGACGGUACAGGGUGAUAGUCCCGUACACCAAAAUGCACAGGCUGUGAACUCGAAGAGUAGGGCGGGACACGUGGUAUCCUGUCUGAAUAUGGGGGGGACCAUCCUCCAAGGCUAAAUACUCCUGACUGACCGAUAGUGAACCAGUACCGUGAGGGAAAGGCGAAAAGAACCCCGGCGAGGGGAGUGAAAAAGAACCUGAAACCGUGUACGUACAAGCAGUGGGAGCACCUUUAUGGUGUGACUGCGUACCUUUUGUAUAAUGGGUCAGCGACUUAUAUUCUGUAGCAAGGUUAACCGUAUAGGGGAGCCGCAGGGAAACCGAGUCUUAACUGGGCGUUAAGUUGCAGGGUAUAGACCCGAAACCCGGUGAUCUAGCCAUGGGCAGGUUGAAGGUUGGGUAACACUAACUGGAGGACCGAACCGACUAAUGUUGAAAAAUUAGCGGAUGACUUGUGGCUGGGGGUGAAAGGCCAAUCAAACCGGGAGAUAGCUGGUUCUCCCCGAAAGCUAUUUAGGUAGCGCCUCGUGAACUCAUCUUCGGGGGUAGAGCACUGUUUCGGCUAGGGGGUCAUCCCGACUUACCAACCCGAUGCAAACUACGAAUACCGAAGAAUGUUAUCACGGGAGACACACGGCGGGUGCUAACGUCCGUCGUGAAGAGGGAAACAACCCAGACCGCCAGCUAAGGUCCCAAAGUCAUGGUUAAGUGGGAAACGAUGUGGGAAGGCACAGACAGCCAGGAUGUUGGCUUAGAAGCAGCCAUCAUUUAAAGAAAGCGUAAUAGCUCACUGGUCGAGUCGGCCUGCGCGGAAGAUGUAACGGGGCUAAACCAUGCACCGAAGCUGCGGCAGCGACACUAUGUGUUGUUGGGUAGGGGAGCGUUCUGUAAGCCUGCGAAGGUGGCCUGUGAGGGUUGCUGGAGGUAUCAGAAGUGCGAAUGCUGACAUAAGUAACGAUAAAGCGGGUGAAAAGCCCGCUCGCCGGAAGACCAAGGGUUCCUGUCCAACGUUAAUCGGGGCAGGGUGAGUCGACCCCUAAGGCGAGGCCGAAAGGCGUAGUCGAUGGGAAACAGGUUAAUAUUCCUGUACUUGGUGUUACUGCGAAGGGGGGACGGAGAAGGCUAUGUUAGCCGGGCGACGGUUGUCCCGGUUUAAGCAUGUAGGCUGGUUAUCCAGGCAAAUCCGGAUAAUCAAGGCUGAGGUGUGAUGACGAGGCACUACGGUGCUGAAGUAACAAAUGCCCUGCUUCCAGGAAAAGCCUCUAAGCAUCAGGUAACACGAAAUCGUACCCCAAACCGACACAGGUGGUCAGGUAGAGAAUACCAAGGCGCUUGAGAGAACUCGGGUGAAGGAACUAGGCAAAAUGGUGCCGUAACUUCGGGAGAAGGCACGCUGGUGUGUAGGUGAAGUCCCUGCGGAUGGAGCUGAGACCAGUCGAAGAUACCAGCUGGCUGCAACUGUUUAUUAAAAACACAGCACUGUGCAAACACGAAAGUGGACGUAUACGGUGUGACGCCUGCCCGGUGCCGGAAGGUUAAUUGAUGGGGUUAUCCGUAAGGAGAAGCUCUUGAUCGAAGCCCCGGUAAACGGCGGCCGUAACUAUAACGGUCCUAAGGUAGCGAAAUUCCUUGUCGGGUAAGUUCCGACCUGCACGAAUGGCGUAAUGAUGGCCAGGCUGUCUCCACCCGAGACUCAGUGAAAUUGAACUCGCUGUGAAGAUGCAGUGUACCCGCGGCAAGACGGAAAGACCCCGUGAACCUUUACUAUAGCUUGACACUGAACAUUGAGCCUUGAUGUGUAGGAUAGGUGGGAGGCUUUGAAGCGUGGACGCCAGUCUGCGUGGAGCCAACCUUGAAAUACCACCCUUUAAUGUUUGAUGUUCUAACGUUGGCCCCUUACCGGGGUUGCGGACAGUGUCUGGUGGGUAGUUUGACUGGGGCGGUCUCCUCCCAAAGCGUAACGGAGGAGCACGAAGGUUAGCUAAUCCUGGUCGGACAUCAGGAGGUUAGUGCAAUGGCAUAAGCUAGCUUGACUGCGAGCGUGACGGCGCGAGCAGGUGCGAAAGCAGGUCAUAGUGAUCCGGUGGUUCUGAAUGGAAGGGCCAUCGCUCAACGGAUAAAAGGUACUCCGGGGAUAACAGGCUGAUACCGCCCAAGAGUUCAUAUCGACGGCGGUGUUUGGCACCUCGAUGUCGGCUCAUCACAUCCUGGGGCUGAAGUAGGUCCCAAGGGUAUGGCUGUUCGCCAUUUAAAGUGGUACGCGAGCUGGGUUUAGAACGUCGUGAGACAGUUCGGUCCCUAUCUGCCGUGGGCGCUGGAGAAUUGAGGGGGGCUGCUCCUAGUACGAGAGGACCGGAGUGGACGCAUCACUGGUGUUCGGGUUGUCAUGCCAAUGGCACUGCCCGGUAGCUAAAUGCGGAAGAGAUAAGUGCUGAAAGCAUCUAAGCACGAAACUUGCCCCGAGAUGAGUUCUCCCUGAGACUUUAAGUCUCCUGAAGGAACGUUGAAGACGACGACGUUGAUAGGCCGGGUGUGUAAGCGCAGCGAUGCGUUGAGCUAACCGGUACUAAUGAACCGUGAGGCUUAACCUU
rnacentral:rRNA from 1 species